UACGGGGGGAGCAAGCGUUGUUCGGAAUUACUGGGCGUAAGGGGCUCGUAGGCGGCCAACUAAGUCCGACGUGAAAUCCCCAGGCUUAACCUGGGAACUGCGUCGGAUACUGGAUGGCUUGAAUCCGGGAGAGGGAUGCGGAAUUCCAGGUGUAGCGGUGAAAUUCGUAGAUAUUGGGAAGAACACCAGUGGCGAAGGCGGCUAUCUGGCCCGUUAUUGACGCUGAGGCGCGAAAGCGUGGGGAGCAAACAGG
rnacentral:rRNA from 1 species